rnacentral:lncRNA from 1 species
CUUCCUCACUCGUCUCUGUUUCCUCUGCCUCGACUUCCUCUUCGGCUACGGCAUCAGGACUGAUCUUCAGGCUGCUCUUGACGGAGUUGUAAAUACGGCCUGCAAAGUCUUUUGGGUCGUUGAGUAUGAAUCCACUCUCGAUCAAAGCUGUCUGGUACAUGAGCUGUGCUGUUUCUUUCACACUCUCAUCCUGCAAGAGUUUUGUGUGUCAGGAAGGUAAACAAAAAACAAAGAGCUAACGGGUCCUUAUGUCUUUACCUCUGGGUCGCUAGCAACUCUUUCCUUGAGUUCUUUGAUGAUAGGGUGUCGAGGGUUGAUCUCAAGGACUCGCUUUCCUCGCAUGUAAGCUUGCUUGUUUGCAUCGGAGAGAGUUUGGGACUGCAUGAUCCUCUCCAUGUUUGCACUCCAUCCAAACUUGGACGUUACAACUACACAGGGAGUGUCAGCCAAU